CCUACCCUUGACAUGUCUGGAAUCCCGAAGAGAUUUGGAGUGCUCGCAAGAGAACCGGAACACAGGUGCUGCAUGGCUGUCGUCAGCUCGUGUCGUGAGAUGUUGGGUUAAGUCCCGCAACGAGCGCAACCCUUGUCAUUAGUUGCUACGAAAGGGCACUCUAAUGAGACUGCCGGUGACAAACCGGAGGAAGGUGGGGAGUGACGUCAAGUCCUCAUGGCCCUUAUGGGUAGGGCUUCACACGUCAUACAAUGGUCGGGACAGAGGGUCGCCAACCCGCCGAGGGGGAGGCCAAUCCCAGAAACCCGAUCGUAGUCCGGAUUGUAGUCUGCAACUCGACUACAUGAAGUCGGAAUCGCUAGUAAUCGCGGAUCAGCAUGUCGCGGUGAAUACGUUCCCGGGUCUU
rnacentral:rRNA from 1 species